rnacentral:rRNA from 1 species
UACAGAGGGGGCAAGCGUUGUUCGGAAUUACUGGGCGUAAAGGGCGCGUAGGCGGCCUGUUAAGUCGAACGUGAAAUCCCCGGGCUCAACCCGGGAACUGCGUCCGAUACUGGCAGGCUUGAAUCCGGGAGAGGGAUGCGGAAUUCCAGGUGUAGCGGUGAAAUGCGUAGAUAUCAGGAGGAACACCGGUGGUGUAGACGGCUCUCUGGACCGUAACUGACGCUGAGACACGAAAGCGUGGGUAGCAAACAGG